ensembl:lncRNA
GUCAUGAAGAAAUAAAAGCUUAAAAUCCUUUCUCCUGCUAUUUGUAAAAUUCAUACUCUAGAAAGAGGUAGAUUGUUUUUCCUAGGGCUUUGAGUAUCCCUGACACUCUGCCCAUCCUCUAUGGGUACAGAUACUGCAGUUUGGGAAGUGCCAAUGGAAGAAGCAGAAAGAGUUGGAGGAGACAAGGAGGUCCACCUGAAGACCUCUUAAAAGAGGAGAAGAGAACUUAUUCUUUCCCCAGCACUAGACAGAAUGUCAGACAUCUGGAUGAGUGUGGCUUCAGGUGGUGUGUGCAGGAACUGAUGAAGUGGCUAUAAUAUCGCUUGUGAUUGUUGGGAAGCCUAAGAUUUAUGAGAGUCCACACUGAAGAGGUGAACCAGGUUGGAUCCAAGCUUGAUACAAAGAAAGUAAAACACAGCAAGUUGCUCACUGUGCCCAAGGAUGUCCUCUCUAUCCCAGGCUGGCUGGGCCACCCCCCCCCCCCAUCUGUAAUGCUUGCUUCUCAGCAAGGGCUUGUCCUGGAGCUAGGGAAGACCCUGAGCAAAUCAGUGCACUAUUUCUGGAUGUCAGGUGAGUUCCAUGACUCACACUCUUCAACCAAAGCCCAUUAAUCAAGUCUGAUGACUCAAUAUUCUUUUGACACAAACAUGCCAAGUGCAAUGUGAUCCCUCACAAACAUUUCUACUUCCCAUAUGCCAGGGUAGUAACCUCUGGGGAAGAGAGGAGAAUUAAACCUUUCUCUAAACAAAGGCAUUAUCCUUUGGUAAAAUCAAAGACAGAAGCUAGGAUCCAAGUGUCUUCUGUGCUGGAGAUGCCAAUCAUUUCCUCCCUGUCUCCAAGCUUUGCCUAGAACCUUGCCUGAAGAUCCUGCCUGCUCACACUACAGCAGCAGAGGCACCAUGGCCCUAGAGACCUAUCUCAAAGGGAGCAGCUGAUCAGUCCGUGAGGACCCUAGCUUUACACAGAGGAAUAGGCAACCACACUCAGCCCAAGGUCACAAAGACCCAGAAGUAAGAGCUAUUGACAUAGGGAACCAGUUUGACCUGCUCUCCAGAGACCCCCUAAAGAAUCCAGAGCAGCAUCAAGUGAUCCCACUGUUCCAGGGACAGAUGAUGACAGAGCAUAUUACUUACAUUCCUGUGAUGAGGACAAAAUACCCAACACGCAGCACUGAAAAGAGGUAGAUUCUUGUUCACUCGAAGUUGGUAAGACUCUAGAGUUGUUCAAGCUUCAUGUGCCACCCAAGUUGAAGGUGAUGUGAGGGUUCAGAAAGUAGGAAUCCAGAGGAAGAGACACAAGUGAGGCUCUUGGAGAAACUGAGCAGUGUUCAGCAACUGAAAGUACUGGCGAUUGAAAAAGAAAUAAAAUAUGGGAAAGAAUCUUCCUGUGCUUCCAGGAGGCCUGGCCUGGAAAGGCCCUGGGAGGGUGUGGUUGGCCUGAGGAAUAUUGAGAAGUGUAUUUUCCUUCCUUUCAAGGAAAUUUUCCUCUUAAAAAACAAACAGCAAUUUCUAAACUUAGGAAUUGAACAAAAGAAAUAUAUUUUCUCUAGGAGCAAAAUUUGCACUAUUGGAAAAGAAAUCGAAUAUGGGAAAGAAUCUUCCCGUAGUUGCCUCAGUAAUGAUUUUCUUUAGUUCACAUAAAGACACAUUUAGUGAAUCCAUUCAGGCUGGCUCAGGUUACGAUGACUGAAACAUAUUAAG